rnacentral:lncRNA from 1 species
CUAACUCCAAUAUGCAUGCACAAUUUGGAGUUAUUUUCAUGAUAAAUUAAAGUUAUUUAAACUAUGAUUAUCAAUACAAAAUAAGAAGAACAAUGAAUUAACCAAGUACUCUGAAUUUGCUCACACAUCAAGAUUUAAGAAUUUUAGACCUAGUGAUGAGCAGCUCUAAACAACCAUGGAGCUAGAGCUCUGUGAAAUGAACAAUUUUCCUUCUCAAUAGUCCAAUAGGAAUGCAAAACAAUUUCUAAUGGAUCUACAGAAUCCUUCUUAUAGCGGGCUAUGUUAUAGAGACAAGGAUACUGUUCCCGUAAUGUUAUAUUCCCCAACCAC